CGUGCCUUAGGAUGGGAUUGCCAGGACAUACUAGUAAUUUAUGUAUGCGCACUUCUGUUGCUCUUGAGCCUUGUGCAGUGCUGUUGGCAGCUAGAGCCAGGAGCUACCUCCUUCAUGAGUCAGAUCAGUAGGUUCACACUGCCCUUCUUCCUCUUGAGAGAGAGGCAUCCCCAAUGAAACAGGGGAUCAAACUCAGGUCAUCAAGCUUGGCACCAAGAACCUUUUACUUGCUGUGCCAUCUCACCAGCCCUGCUAUGUGCAUUUUUAAUAGGUUGUUGUCAGAUAAGGAUUUAGAAUACAUCUGUAAAGGUUCCUGGGAGGCCGAUGAACUUGGCUCCUUCUUAGCGAAGUUAUCUAAAAUACUUUAAAUACUUUAAAAUAAAACUAAUCCCUACACUGGUGGGUUGAAAACUUUUCCUAUCCCCAGGGCACUAAAAUAAUACCCUUUCCAACAGCAGGGGAAGUAUUUUAGGCGACAGCUCUCUAGUUAUAACAAGGCAAGUCAAUUUUUAGGAAUUAGGGAUGCUAAUCACGGUGUCUCAAGAUGUGCAUUGCCGGGGAGUGGAAUUCGAGACCACAAACUGUCAUGAUCGCUGUGUGCCUCGCUCUGAGGAGGAGAUGGAAACAGGAGGGAGACUCGGCUUCCUGGUCCCUCCACAGCCUGAUCUAUCAUAAAGGUCAAGAUAAUUGGCCACAUACAGCAAAAUCAACACCACUCCUCUUCCCCAGCCUAGCAGAUAAGCAGGGAAACUCAGCACCCUGCCAGGCUAAGUGGUGGCUAGCCCAGGUGGAGGAGGAGAAAGGUCCGAAAAUAUGCAUGCAAGAACACAAGGCCCUGUAAUGAUGCCAUCAGAUUAGCAUUAAAUAUAUUUUACAAUCAAUCGAGAUACCGCAGGCUGUCCCCAAACAUGCAGGAAAUCGGUCCAGGAUUUCAACAGACUACUCACGCUUGUGUUUAUGCCUUUCUGGUGUUUUAGACUUUAAAACUCCCAACAUUAGAAAUGUACAUAUUAACAAAUGAAAUCACAGUAAAUGCAAGUUCUGGUUCAAUGCCAUCAUUAAAAUAUGACCACGUGAGAAUUCUGCUUUCCUUAAAAGUUCAAUUAAUCUAAUGACUCAAAGUCAAAGCAAUGUUGGCCAAAGAAGAAAAGGCAUCAGAAAAUGCACACAAAGAGGCUAGAGAGAUGCUCAGUUGACAAUUCACUUGCAAGCAUGAAGAAAUGAGUUCAACACCAGAGCCCAUCUGAAAAGGCCAAGCACCAAUUUACAAUCCUGGCACUGGGAAGCAGAGACAGCUGGACAGCCAGUGUCUACAAGGAUGGAUAUUUUAAAGUUGGCAUCACAGAAGACUCAGUACUGGAUCUCAGCUGUCACAAAGAUGGUGUGGGUAUGGAGCAAAGUGGGACGCCAGGAGGAGCCAUGCUGUGGAUGGAGGAAGGAUGCAAGUGAAGCACAGCUUCAUAAUCACACAAGGCAUUCCAUCUAACAACAUCAUAUGCUGGUUCUCACUAACCAGGUAACACUUCAGAAAAUAAAAUGGAGAAUGACAGAAUCUAUAUUCUGGGUGAACUGUUCAAGAUAACUAAAUUUCUGUCUUCAUCUUCCAUAGAAGGAAGCAGAAUAUCUCCCUGGACAUGACUUGGUUAGAGUCCCUGCCUAAAUCCAGACACUCUUCUCUGCUAAUCACCUCCAGCCCGGGUGUGCCCCACUCCUGCACCACAUUCUCGAUAAUGAAUGUGUCUCUGAAUGGAGAGACACAUGAGCCUACUUUCUGAGGGAGAGAACAUCUGCAUCCAAGCAUGGUGCCAUACUGAUUCCUACACCUUGAAACACCACACACAAAGCA
ensembl:lncRNA